CUCUAUGGGAAACAGGUUGUGAGCAUCCCAUCAGAAGGGAGAUACAGAGGAGUGAACGAGCAGGUGCUGCCUCCAAACCUAACUCCGAAUCUGAAUCCACACUGCAUCCCGCUAAUGGCAAGCUGAUGCUCUCCAUCAUCAUCACCAUCACCAUCAUCACCAUCAUCCUCCUCCUCAUGUGCCCUGGUGCCACAGCCACCUGUGCGCUGGCUGGCUAGCUGUCAGUUUAGCCUCCAUGGUCUAAAAGUUUGAGCUCCAUCCUGGUCUCCAGCCCCUCUGGCCAGGACAGGUCCUGUCUGCCUGAUGGAAUCCUGUUAGAAAUAUCGGCACAAUCUCUGGCAAGACACCUGGCCCCAGCUGUAGGACCCAAGGUGGCUUGGAGCCCUGGGGCCCGCGUCUACUCAGAGAGAUGUCCUGACAUACCUCUUAUCCUUCGUGCACAAGUGUCAGGACGCCCUACACUUGAGCUGUCCUCGGAUGAGAGUUGUGGUCACAGGAUCCACACAAAGGGAGUCCCUUACGGCUCCUCCCCCCCAACAUUGCUUAGCCCUGCCUCCCAAACCCCAGUGAUAUCCACGGCUUUGCAUUUCCACGGAGAGAUGCUAUAAUGCCAUGCUGCAAGUCUUCUGGAACACAAGGUCCUUGGAACAAGAGGCACACUGGGAGGCUGUGAGUAAUUCAAGCAUCCAGCAUCCCGGGUCCUGCUUCAGGUUCAGUGAGUCAGAUCUUCAGGGGCCGGGAACUGAGAGUCCCUAGAAGGAUGUAUAUUGACCAUUUCCUUGGAACCAGUCAUACCUUCUCACUGUACCCAUCAGCAAGCGCCCACACAUCCCUUAAAGCCUUCUCUGAGAGAGCUCUCAAGGCUCUCUGGCUCUCGACAGGAUUCCUCCCUCUCCCCUCUGAAGCCCUUGGUUUGUAUUAUUUCUAUGGCGGUGGUGGUUACUGAUAUCCAUUUGUGCAUCUUUCUUUUCCCGCAGGGUAAGCCUAUGGAACAAGGAAGGGGCCUUUCUUCUCAGCACUUCAGCACCUCACUGAGUACCGCUCAAUUCUUGGAAAUCUCCACCAGGAAAUGAAGGCCCAGCUGGCCUUCCUCCGCCUGUUUCUUCUGCCAUUGGUGGAAGAAUGCUACUCAAGCAGAGACCUUAGGCUCCACCCCAAACAGGGACCAAGACUCCACACACUGCAGCCUGCAGAAAAGCCCUGUCUGACCACCAGACGCUGGAACUUUCCCUGGCCACACUGCAGUUGCUCUCUAAGCUAAGGAAGCACGGGGUCUUCUCUUCUGGUCUUCUUGGUCAGCUCGACAUCUGGUCAUCAAGGAGGCAGUCAGGAAAGAGACAGAAGAACCAUCUCAACUUUGCUGGAACACAUACUUGGGCCUUUUAAAGCCAAAAGGAAUGACCGUCAUGUCUGGAGAGAUGGCUCCAGUGGCUCAGUUAGGUUCCCAGAACCCACACGGAGUACCUCACAAACGCCUGUAACUCCAGCUCCAAGGAAUUACUGGGUAUGGUGGGACAUGCUGGAGGCCUAGAGGUUCCAGAGGCCGAAUAAGCCAGGAGGAUUGCUUUAAGUGUGAGGCCAAGCCUGGGCCACACAGCGAGAACAUCCCACCGAGCUGCAGCCCCGAGUCGGUCUCAAGGUGGAGGGAUCGACGCCUUCUCACUGUACCUGAAGGGACAGCACCCCACCUUUGCCUCAGCCUCUCCCACCAUGUGACACCCUGUCAGCUCUGUCUUGUGCAAUGCGGCCCUCUGCCCAUUUGUAGUGUUCGUAUUUAACUCUGCCACAGUAACCACGGGCAUUUCCAGGCUGUUGUUUGGUCUUGAACCAGACAGACCCUAAAGAAGACAACGUCAAUACUUGGCAAAAUAGGACAUCAGGGGCAAAGUCUUUUAUAACCUCAGACCUGUUUACUUCAUAAUACACAAUAAAAAAAAUAAAUAAACACUCUCAAAGAGUUCUUUGUGUUUGAAAAGUUCCCCAAGUACUGAGAGAGUAUGAACUCCCUAUGUGUGAUGGCCACACAGGGGCACCUAUGUGAGCCUAAAGCCUCCAGAUUUCUACUUCCCAUACCGGAAAAUGAAAACGACCCCCAGGCUGCCUGUCUUCCUUCAUGAUUAGCUCAUGGGCUACCAGCUCAUUCAUUAUUUUACCCCAAACUAAAUAACGUCAAUAAAACACUGUUACUGUUUUCAAC